rnacentral:rRNA from 1 species
UUUAGAGACCCUCGGUGUAGGGGUGAAAUCCGUUGAUAUCGAGGGGAAUACCAAAUGCGAAGGCACUAAACUGGCAUAUUCUUGACGCUGAGGCACGAAAGCGUGGGUAGCGAACGGGAUUAGAUACCCCGGUAGUCCACGCCCUAAACGCUGUCUGCUAGCUAUUGGGAGAAUCGACCCUUCCAGUGGCGUAGGUAACCCGUUAAGCAGACCGCCUGGGUAGUACGAGCGCAAGCUUAAAACUCAAAGGAAUAGACGGGGGCUCGCACAAGCGGUGGAUCAUGAGGCUUAAUUCGUCGAUAAGCGAAAAACCUUACCAAGGCUAGAAACUAUACUGCACGCUCUGUGAAAGCAGAGAAGCCUUCGAGGGUGUAUAGCAGGUGAUGCAUGGCCGUCGUCAGUUCGUGGCUUGAGCUGUUCCCUUAAGUGGGGAAACGAACGCAACCCUCGUUGCCUGUUACAAGUGUCAGGCGAGACUGCUCCCUCACGGGAGAGGAAGGUGAGGAUGACGCCAGGUCAGCAUGUCCCUUGAUGCCUUGGGCUGCACUCGUGAUACAAUGGGAAGUACAAAGGGACGCAAUACCGUAAGGUGGAGCAAAUCCUGAUAAAACUUUCCUCAGUUCGGAUUGGGGGCUGCAACUCGCCCCCAUGAAGCCGGAAUCGCUAGUAAUCGUGAAUCAGCACGUCACGGUGAAUACGUUCCCGAGCCUUGUACUCACCGCCCGUCAAGUCAGGGGAGUCGGGAGUGCCCGAAGUCCGUCCUUGCGACGGCCAACGGUAAAUUCGAUAACAAGGACUAAGUCGUAACAAGGCACGGCUAGCGGAAGCUGGUCGUG